AUGACAGGCAAACUACACCUCCUCCUGGUCUUGCUGGGCCUCUGUAGGAUAUAUGGUCAGAGUCUGGAGGACAUUCCCUCCAGUCCAGUCCUGAAAAAGCCUGGAGAACCUCUCAGCCUCUCCUGGAAACCAUUGGAAUGGAUGGGCUGGAUCAACACCAAUACUGGAGCAGCAGGCUAUGCCAAAAUCGUGGAGGGACAGAUUGAACUGACCAAAGACAGCUCAGUGAGCAUGACACAUCUGAAACUGUCUGGUCUGAAGGCAGAGGACUCUGCUGUGUAUUACUGUGCACGCUGGACACAGUGA